rnacentral:lncRNA from 1 species
AUCCAUAUCCCAUCCCAUCCCUUUUUGUUAGCAACAGGAGAACCCGCUCUUGAAACCACCGACCCUAGUUCCCUCUCCCUUCUCUCUUUAUACCAUUUUCCUCCCCAAAAUCCCUUCUCUCCACUCUCCCACUCCAAGAUCACAAAGGUGAAGGCUCCUCAAGUCUUAGCCCAUCACCUGCUUCGAUGACCAGAGCCACUCCAAUGCCACCAAUUCGGUCCUUGACCUCGGCCGCUCCACCAUCACCACUGGUGCAGUCAAUCAACUCUCUCUCUCUCUCUCUCUCUCUGUGCUUGAUCUAAAUGUUGUCUUCGUUCUUGAUCUUGUUCUUGAUUUUCUUUCAAAGAUUUCAGCUAUUAGAUCACAAAAUUUUGUUCAAAGAUUUAAUCUUUUUUGGCCCUAUUUCCUCAAUUUCAUGCUGAAAGCACUGAAGAAAUCAAUGCCAAAGACCGGGAGAGUGAUGAAGCCCCCAAAGGUAUUGGCCAGGACUGUGG